AGAUGGCCCAGACUCAAGAAAGGGUAAGGACAGAGGCAGUCCCAGAAAGCAAGCUGUUUUAUUUUUAAACUCCAUACAAAAGCAACAGAAGAGAGGGCUCUGUGAAGGUUGAAAAUCUUUUCUGAACAUAGCCUUAAUCCAAAAAGCCAGGAAGGAUCAUUUCACAAUCAAAUAAACAAUAGAAAAGUAUUAAGGCCAAAUUCCAUCCAAAGUUAUGAACAGAAAAGGGACCAAGAGGAAGCACAAUAGCAUCCCUAUAGACAAUGGAAGCACACCAGGGAGACGUGGUUAGAGACCAAAACCAUAACAUAUUUAAAAAUGAAAAUACACUAAGCACAUGAAAGAAGACAUGAGAAAAUUACAUAGAUUGAAAAUGGAAUGAAGAAUUAAGAAAAUGAGAAAUUAUUUGAGAAAUGAAGACAGGGCGCCUGGGUGGCUCAGUCCAUUAAGCCUCUGCCUUCGGCUCAGGUCAUGAUCCCAGGGUCCUGGGAUCGAGCCCCGGGUUGGGCUCCCUGCUCAGCGGGGACUCUGCUUCUCCCUCUCUUUCUGACUCUCCCUCCUGCUCAUGUGCACUCUCUCUCUCUCAAAUGAAUAAAUGAAAAGUUUUAGAAGAGAGAAGUGAAGACUGGAGCACAAGCAGCGUUAAGGACUAAACACAACAGAUAACAAACACCUUAAGAAAAAUAGAGGGUGAUAAAGAAAAAGACAUAUAAGUAAAGAGGAGAUGAAGAAUUGGAGACACAAGAUUCGAGAGAAAGUGACCCAUCUUUGAGGCGCGCAAAGGAGAUCAAACACAGGUAACAGGCCUGAAGAAGAACCCCAAAGCAAGAAGAAAUGCUAAAAACUGUAAUUCAAGGAAACAUUCCAUUUAAACAAAAAGGUCAACACUGCAUAUUGAAAGUAUACCAUGUACCUGAAAAUAUUGACCCAGAGGGACCACCCAAAUAACAGGUGAGGAGAAACGCAUCUUAAUAAAAGCAUUUCAACUCUAAGCGGGAAAAGAGUGAUAGAAAAGCACGGGUUGUCAGCCCCACUGAACACUUAGGCAUGAAGCAUCAACGGCUUCUGAGAUCCCAGGGGAGAAACAACCAGACACGGGCCUCUUACAGCCUUGCCAAAGGGACCAAACCUGAGUCUGAACCACUCUCUGAACACUGCUGCUGUUGUACAGGAAUACGGAGGACUGAAGACAGUGUGUGUGUGUGUGUGUGUGUGUGCAGGGUGGCCUGGGGGAAUGCGGUCUGCGGGAAGUUGCAAGUUCAAAGAUUCUGCAACUCAUACUUGGUAGGAAAAUGAAAAAGGACAGAAGAGGAAUCUAUAGAUUAAAAGAGACAAAAGAUGGGAUUUUAUGAAAGAGGCAAGGCUCCGAAUGUUUCUCUCUUUUUUUUUUUCUUCAAAUUUAUUUACUUGUCAGAGAUCACAAGUAGGCAGAGAGGCAGGCAGAGAGAGAGGAAGAAGCAGGCCCCCCGCUGAGCAGAGAGCCCGACUUGGGGCUUGAUCCCAGGACCCUGAAAUCAUGACCAGAGCUGAAGGCAGAGGUUUCAGCCCACUGAGCCAUCCAGAUGCCCCAAGGCUCUGAAUGUAUCUUAACCAGUAUAUUUUACUCCUGGUAAAUGGGUAAACAAAAGCAGGUAUGUCCGCACGACGGAAUGAUACUCAACAAUAAAAAGGAAAAACUACCAGCACAUAUGGUAACAUGCGUGCACUUCAGAAUUAUCACGCUGAGUGAAACCCGCCGCACACAAGAGAAAGCAGCCUCUAAGAUUCUAGUGACACGAAAUUCUCAGUGUAAAACUGACUCCUAGUGACGGGAAGCAGAUCAGCGGUGGUCUAGAUGGAGACGGAGGGUAGUGGAUCCCAAACCGAAGGAACAGAAUGGAGCACAUGUGAGGAAGUCCUGGGGGUGGUGCUUCACAGAAAACUCAAAACAGGACCCCCGGGAUGGAAUCCGCACCUGCGUUUUCUGGCUGUAUCCCAGAAGUGGGGUCUGAGAUACUGUCUGUGUUGCUCACGCUCCCCCUGAAGGAUUCAAAGGGCCAGGAAUGGGCUGCAAUUAGGAGCCCUGGAAACCAGUGUCCCGGCAGGGGCAGGAGGAGUGAGGCGUGUUCGACUUGGACAUCUGUGGACUCAGGAGACAGAAGCCGUAGGCGACCCGUGCUUCCCGGAGGGCGCGCCUCCGGUCCAAGGUGGCUUUCGGCUUUGGUAAGGGGCCCCACACAGACGGUCCUUCUGUUACUAGAGUGAGAAGCAGAGCGGCGGGAGCGGGAGCGGGAGCGGAGCGAGUGUUCAAAAUGCGAAGUCUAGAAAAGCUCUUAGAAUCCCCGUUCCUCCCUCCUUCCACCUUCCGGAUGGGGGCACCAGGCUGGAGAGGUGACUCCUCCAAAGCCCGGUAGUAGGUUAGGGCAGGACUAGGGCUGGAGCCCACACCCGCCGCUCCCUUGCUCAGCGACAAAGUCUGCUCAGCCCAUCCCCUGAGAGUCCUUCUGUUUGGGCCCUCGGAGCGGCCACGGUCCUCCAAUCACUCCCGAGGCUGCAGCCCCAGAAACCUUUGCUUGCGGCGGAGGCGAGGCCGCUUCUGGAGUACUAGCGAUGGGGCUCUGCGUGGGGCCCGUGCUUUCCAGUUUGCAAAACACUUUUGCGUCCUUUCUGCCGCCUGCUCUGGACUUCUGCCCUCCUCCACUUCCUCCAACCUCUGUUUUCUGCUCUGGCCUCCCAGAGAGGCGGUUUGUACGCGGGGGAGGUCAAGGCCUCCGGAGCCCACGUGCGUAAGACUGAAGCCUGCGGACGGCUGGUGCGGCCUUUCGUGAGUCCCCCGGGAGGGCUUCGCGGGGCCUCCGUCUCCUCGUCCGCCAAGCGCAGAUGGUCAUCGGAGUAUCUAGUCCUCGAGUGCUCCUGUGAGGCCUCGGUGCGUUAACUCGAGCUCGGGACCGUCCCCCGCACGCCGUCAGGGCUUCCCAGACACCAGCACCUUCCCCACUCCCAUUAGCCUGUCCGGCAUUUGCUAUUUCACAACCGUGAUCUGGGACGCCGGAGCCCUUCUCCGCCUCUUCCCGUCUCCUCGGAGGCUCCGCUCACUCGGCCCUCCCAGCGCAGUACUCCUUUGAUGCCUUCCUCCCAGCGCUGCGCGGUCGGGCUCCCUGUCGGAGCCGGGAGAUCUCUCGGGGCAUCUUGAGCGGCGACACCGCGCCCCGGGGUGGGGCUGGGGGGCAGGCGAAUCUCUCUGCUUCCUUGAUGUUCGGUGACUGCAUGAGUCACCCAGUGAUCCCCCAAUCUAGACAUCCAUCUUGAUGUCUUUCUUUCGCCUCACCCCACACCCAAUCCAAGUCUUGACGAGUCCCGGUGGAAACUGGAUCCUGAAUGUGCCUCUAGGCCAGUCCCAGGCCAGGCCCCGCCCCCGUCUGUCUUCUCACCCCUGGGCAACUGGGCCUUCUCCGCUUCCAGGCCCCUACACUUACUGCCCCGGGAUGCACCUUCAUCCCUCUCCUUAACACUCUCCCUUGACUUGCUGUUGCUCUUGGAGGAAACUCCCAUCCGCAGGCCUGGCUGCAGAGCUCUGCCUCGCUUGCUCCCACCUCAUCCACUUCCCUUUCACUCUAUAAGCUUCACUGCCCUGGUCUCCUUCCAGCUCCUUCCCCGCCUCCUGUCCUGCAUUUGCCACUCCUUCUGCUUUCUGCUCAGCCAGCUGCUUCUUUUGAUUUCAGGUUGAAGGUCACAUCCUCUGAGAGGCUUUCCCUGUCCGACUUGAGGGGGGACGUCUCCCAGUUUUUCUGUGUCCCAGCACCCUUUUAAUCUCCUUCAUACAGCCCAUUAUUUAUCUGUGAAUAUCUUGCUUACUUACCCAUUUGUUAGCUGGCUAUCUCACUUGCUAUAUUGUAUAUAUUUUUCAUGAUUUUACUUAUUUAUUUAUUUGCUAUAUUGGAUAUAUUUUUCAUGAUUUUACUUACUUAUUUGAGAGAGAGUAAGAGCUCAGAGGGAGAAUGAGAGGGAGAAGCAGGCUCCCCACUGAGCAAGGAGCCUGAUGUGGGGCAUGAUCCCAGGACCCUGAGAUCAUGACCCGAGUGAAAGGCAGAGGCUUAACCCACUGAGCCACCCAGGAUCCUCUCACUUGCUAUAUAGUAAGCAUCAUGAGUGCAGGACAUGGUUUGUGUGUGUGUGUGUGUGUGUCCUUCAUAGGGUAUAUCUAGACCAGUCUUUAAUACACUUCUGCUGAUUGAAUGAAGGAAUCCUCCUAGCAAUGAGUAGACUAGGCAUUAUACGUUCACUUUGCAAUGACAAAAGUGUAGAGAGGUUGAUUCUUGCCCUAGGUAACAUAGGCUAGAAGAAGUGCAACCAAGCCCCCUAGGUCAUGGGCUUUUCCUGCUAGACCAUUCCACCUCAAAGGGACAUAGACCUAGCCCUGGGAAUCCAGCUGGGCUGAUUCAUAGACUAAUGCUCUGACGUGAGACCAGAUGGCAGAGAUUCCGAGAUUCCUAUCUCUAAAGGAGUAGCACUGCCAGUAUGUGGCUAAGGAUUACAUCCCAUUCCAAAAUCUGGGCUAUACUCGAGACAUUGCACACACCCAAUAAACACCCAACGACUGUACGAAAAGUGACUUCCUUUGAGAAAGGAAAUCAGAUCCACAGGCCCGAGAGCAGGCUUGAUCUCUCAGGACCCUCUUUAGAGCCCUUCUAAUUUAAGCUUGUUGGAAGGGGAAAGAUGUUUUUUUCUAGCUCCCUUACAACAAUGUGGCCUAAUUUGGAAGAUUUUGCCAUUCCUCAAGUCCUGACUGCUGCCUGAGAGCAGACCCUGAUUGUCAUCAUUUAAAAUAUUGCCUUGAGCAUUGAUAAAAAGCUGUCGGGAGGGUACCAUUUCUGUGAUUCCAGGAGGAAAGUGCCUGGGCAGAGACCCUGGUGACAUAAAGAGCUCUGGACCAGAAGUCAGAAGGGCAGUGCUAUGGGAGAGAAGGCUCUGGGGUUUCUAGCCAGCAAACUCUAAGUCCCCUGCUAGCCCUUAGCUGCCCCUCUGUAAGGAAUGAAGGGAGUCUGAUGGUGACCUAAGGGUCAUAGGUGUGGCUUUGACCUGGGCUCUAUAACAAAUGUGCAGGGAGGGACCUUUUAAGGUCUUCUCCUUCUCUGGAUCUUGGUGUAUUGUCUUUACAAGGCCAGGGUUGGAAGGCCUGACUCCUCAGCCUCUUUCCCACUCUGAUAUUUGCUUUUGCUGUUUCUGUGAAACAUCGUCUCCUCCAGGGCUGGGCUUCCUUAUCAUCCAGGCCUCAGAAACCAGCGUGAAAUUGACAUAGCUAUUACAGAACAGUUCAACAAAGAGCAUCUUUAAAAAAAAAAAAAAUCAUUUAUUUAUUUUUAAAGUAAUCUCCAUGCCCAACAUGGGGCUUGAACACAUGACUCUGAGAUCAAGAGUCUCAUGAUCUUCUGAUUGAGCCCACUGGGUGCCCCUCAACAAAGGCCAUCUUAAUUCUGAAGGCCUGGACUUCUUAGGGGUGCCCGAGGAGUCAAGUGCUCACUCCUGCCACUCUUCCAGGCCUAGAUGCUAGGCACCUCUCCAGUGACAGGUGCCCCCUCUAAUGAACGGGGCGUGGGGGCGGGGGUGGUUCUUCCAGAAGGGUGAGGUCAUGGAAGCAGGUCAGGGAGUUUGACUCCUCUGAGAGUCUAGAAUUUCGGAACACUGAACCCUAAGGACAUUGUACUCUCCUGCACUUGACCCCCCAAGUGAGAAGACAAGGUUUAGGAAAAUCAGACACGUUCCAGUGUUAUUUGAAUGUUUACUCUGGGGCAGGCUUUGGUUCAACACUUCCUAUACAUUGUUUUGUGUGACCUUGAGUCCUAUAAGAUAGACAUUGGGAUCCUCAUUCUAAAGAAGAGGAAGUUGAGACACAGAGCUAAAGGGACUUGUCCAGACUCUAAACUAUAAGAGACAAACUGAGGGUUGCUGGAGGGGUGGUGGAUGGGAGGAGAGGGUAACAGGGUGGUGGCCUUUAAGGAGGCACAUGCUGUGAUGAGCACUGGGUGUGUUAUACGCAACUGAUGAAUUAUUGAACACUACAUCUGAAACUAAUGAUGUACUAUAUGUUGGCUAAUUGAAUCUAAAUUUAAAAAAAGUUCAGUGUUUUGUCCAAGGUUAUACAGCUAGAAAGACCAGCAUUGUACCCAGCAGUCUACUGCUACACUAAUGUCUCUCUUAAUAAUAGCAAUAAAAAAUAAUCAACGUUGAGGAAGUUCAGUAAGCAUUGGAAAUCACUCUGAACUUGAGGGUCAGAUAAAUGGCUAUACAUCUAGUUCUUCUAUUUAUUGGCUUGGUGACCUUGAGCUAGCCAUUUCACUUCUUUAAGUGACAGUAUACUGACCUUUGUGGAGAUGCCCACUUUACAGUAGAAGGACUGAAAAGGGAUAAUGUACACGAAGUGGUCAGCAUUGAUGCCUGGCAUAAAAGUGCUCGAUAAAUGUUAGUCACAAAUAUAAUAUUAUCAUUACUGCUAUUACUAUCAUCUUCCCUCCAGAGUGACUGCAAAGUUCAAGUGAGAUAAUGAUAGUGAAAGUUCUGUGUUCUGCACCUGUCAGUGAUCCUCUUUAUUACAAUUACAGCAAUCUAAGGGAAGGGGUUAUUUAGAAAGCACUGGCCCCACUCCUCCCCCAAAUGGCUCACAUUCUUUGCUCUACGGCCAACACUGAUGACGAGUGAGGGUUUGAGUUGGUGCCCACUCCCAGUGACGUCCUUCAGUAGAUCUCCAAGAACUGCAGCAAACACUUUUCCGAGCUUAUUUUUAGCAUCUUUUAGAAGGACUUUGAAGCAGGAUUUCAACAUUUAGCUUCAUUGUUUAGAGAAGGUGCCUUGCAGUUAAUGUGAAUGUAUGACUUAGAGCUUUCUCUUAUCCUAAGAGAGAUUCCAUGGAUGCAGAUCAACGAUGUGGCUGGCAGACAUAUGCCCAGAUCCAAGUGAAUUCUGUUGCUGGUUCUUCCUGAUUGAAGUGCUAUGUGUUUGUUAUAACUAAAAAUUUGGAAAAUGCAGGAGCACCUGGUUGGCUCAGUCAGUAGGGCAUGCGACUCUUGAUCUCAGGGUUGGGAGUUCGAGCCCCAUGUUGGAUGUAGAGAAUACUUAAAAAUAAAAUCUUAAGGGGCACCCGAUUGGCACAGUCUGUUAGGCAUCUGUCUCCUUGUUCUGGCUCAGGUCAUGAUCCCAGGGGUAUGAGAUUGAGCCCCACAUCGGGCUCCACACUGAGCACAGAGUCUGCUUGAGAUUCUCUCCCUCUCUGCCCCUGCCCUACUCAAAUAAAUAAAAAAAUCUUUUUAAAAAAUAAAAUCUUACAAAAAAUUGGAAAAUGCAGAACAAUAUAAGGAGAAAAUUUUACCCACGAUGUAAUCAUUCAGAGACAAAGAUUAUUCCUAUAUUGGUGUAUUUCCUUUUGGUCUUUUAUAUAUAUAUUCUUUUACAUAAUUGGGAUCAUAGUAUGAAUAGUCCCUUAUAUAUUUUUACAUUUUUAAAAAUAAGCAAUAUGCAUUUACGUUUCCUUCGUAUCUUUUUAUGGCUUGAUAGCUCAUUGUUUUCUAAUGCUGAAUAAAAUUCUGUUGUCUGGA